UGGGGAAUAUUGGACAAUGGGCGAAAGCCUGAUCCAGCCAUGCCGCGUGUGUGAAGCAGGUCUUCGGAUUGUAAAGCACUUUAAGUUGGGAGGAAGGGCAUUAACCUAAUACGUUAGUGUUUUGACGUUACCGACAGAAUAAGCACCGGCUAACUCUGUGCCAGCAGCCGCGGUAAUACAGAGGGUGCAAGCGUUAAUCGGAAUUACUGGGCGUAAAGCGCGCGUAGGUGGUUUGUUAAGUUGGAUGUGAAAUCCCCGGGCUCAACCUGGGAACUGCAUUCAAAACUGACUGACUAGAGUAUGGUAGAGGGUGGUGGAAUUUCCUGUGUAGCGGUGAAAUGCGUAGAUAUAGGAAGGAACACCAGUGGCGAAGGCGACCACCUGGACUAAUACUGACACUGAGGUGCGAAAGCGUGGGGAGCAAACA
rnacentral:rRNA from 1 species